UGAGAGUUAGUCUAAACAAGACAAUUAAUUUCGACUUAAUAAAUCUGAACUUGGACUUCAGACUCCCAC
rnacentral:tRNA from 1 species